UGUUGGAACCAUUGGGCAUAAUACAUUUUCAUUUGGCAUAAUAUAAAAUCAUAAUGGUAUAUGACGUGUUGCAAUUCACUCUUCUUGAAACUAUGUUGGAACCAUUUAGCACAAUAGAUUUUCUUUCACUAAUACAUGGCUUAUCAUUCCAUAACACAUAAAUUGAACCCUUUUCCUGAUAUAUGGCAAAAUAUAUAUACUUUUAGCAGCACAUAUAGUCUUAAAUAAAUUCAUC
rnacentral:lncRNA from 1 species